rnacentral:lncRNA from 1 species
GUGAAAUCGGCUCUUUAAGCACCUCCAGAUGAAGCAAUAGAAAAAUUGUAUGCUAAUUAUUACCUAUUCACGGAGAAAAAAACCUCGUGCGUGGGACCCGAAGUUUAGGUCAUAUGGAACUCUGAAGUUUUUAGAUUCAGCAUCUGAACACUUUAGGUUUAGCUAUCGAAAAUCGGAUCACACAUCUGAACUACUACAUCUGAAGUACUUCAGAUGUGAGAACCGAAGUUUUUCGGAUGUGAGAACCGAAGUUUUUCGGAUGUGAGAACCGAAGUUUUUCGGAUGUGAAAACCGAAGUACUUCAGAUGUAAGAACUGAAGUUUCAGAUGUGUGAUCCAAACCUCGGCAGCUGGACCUUAAGUGUUCGGAUGCUCAAUCGGAAAACUUCAGAGAUCCAUAUUACCUAAACUUCGGGUCCCACGCACGAAGUUUUUUUCUCCGUGUUGACAACAACAAAAAAAAAAUCCCAAAAUGUGACGUAAGUAACAUGUAUCUACGUCGUGGUUUCCUUCAGGGAAGCCUCCUGCCUGCCGUUGGAGUGGGACGAAGACGUUUUCCGGGAUUUCCUGGACUACCUGAUGUGCAACGACGUCAUGAAAUGCCUCUUCAACCAGCCCGACGUCGUGAUACGACACAUGCUGCCAGCCGUGGCGGAUGCCGUGAGGAGGAUCAAUUGGAUCCACGGAAAGCACUUGAAACUAAGGAAACGGGUCAAGAAGGCCAUCAUCUGGUGCAGAUCGUUGAACCAGACGGAAGAGGCGCAUGCGGACAACUCGGCGACGUUCUUCAGCGCCUACAAACCGUUGACGGAGACUCCCCUGUGGCUGGACGAAGUGGAGUACCCGACGCUGCCCCUGUUCAUGUCCGUGGGGUUCCCGCCGCGGCACCCCGACUGGCCGAGCUUCCAGACAUCCACCCGGGAUAGGGAGGUCGAGCGACUCAUCCGGGUGUGCAGGAGCAACGGGUGCCUCCCGGACCAAGAGGAAUACAAUAUCAACGAUCUCCUGGACUACGUCAGGUGUAAUAACGUUGGCGAGUGUGUCAUCAAUAAAAACCGGCACAUCAUAGACACCACCUUGCAGGUCUUGCAAAGCGCGCUCGAAUGGAUCAACGGUGUCUAUUACAAGUACCACAGUCCUCAGGCCAGAGCGAGGAAAUUCGCGAUGAAAAAGCUUCCAAGCUCUUUAACGAAAAGUUCAGUGUGGAAAAAAAUCGGGUUGAGCUCGAGUCCGCGUCGUGAGAGAUCAACAUCAACACCCCGCAGUAUUCCGAUAUCCUCCGAGCUAAAAGGCAUCAGCAAACUCAUGGUCAAUAAACUGCUUGACCCUUGCACCUUCAUGAGAUACGCUAAGAGCGAGCAGCGAUGGAACGAGGAAUAUCGGAUCGACCAAAACUGCAAGAUCUACUGCCAAUUCCUGGGAGUCGCCAUGGAGAUCUUUGUACCGGCCUCGGCGCCCUACCCACUCGUUUACUGCUCCCAUCUGGUUGAUGGGCAUUGCAAUGAGCGUGAUGUGUGUGUCUGCGAGCGACGAGUCCCGACGCCGUUUCGACGGUACAAACCACAGAUUAACAUGCUCUACUGCGACAACAUGCUCCGACGGAAAUUGAGCAAGAUCGAGUUGCCGGUUCCGAGGCCGCCUCCGCCCAAGUAUACGCCUACACCUUCGCCCAAGUAUACGCCUACACGGCCGCCCACUAACCCGGCCCUCGGACAGGCUCUACAUGCGUAUUCUAGAUCUGAAUCUGAUGCCGGAUCCGAAUCGGACUACGGAUCUGACGUUGCGUCUCAGGGCUCGCCGGUAGAAAAAGAUGAAUAUUUAUUGAGGCUAGAAAAGGCCUUUCCUACUGGAGAUAUUACUAAACACCCACAAAUUUAA